GGCUCAGAAUGAACGCUGGCGGCGUGCCUAACACAUGCAAGUCGAACGAGAAAGCCCGUCUUCGGAUGGGCGAGUAUAGUGGCGCACGGGUGAGUAACGCGUAGGCAACCUACCCUCGGGACCGGGAUAACAGUGCGAAAGCGGUGCUAAUACCGGAUACGACCGAAAGACGGGAGUUUUUCGGUGAAAGUCGGCCUCUCGCAGAAGCCGAUGUUCGAGGAUGGGCCUGCGUCCUAUCAGCUAGUUGGUAGGGUAACGGCCUACCAAGGCGACGACGGGUAGCUGGUCUGAGAGGAUGAUCAGCCACACUGGCACUGAAACACGGGCCAGACUCCUACGGGAGGCAGCAGUGAGGAAUUUUGCGCAAUGGCCGCAAGGCUGACGCAGCAACGCCGCGUGGGUGAAGAAGGCCUUCGGGUCGUAAAGCCCUGUCGGGUGGGAAGAAGUGUGUGGAGUUGAAUAGGCUUCACAUUUGACGGUACCACCAGAGGAAGCACCGGCUAACUCCGUGCCAGCAGCCGCGGUAA
rnacentral:rRNA from 1 species